rnacentral:rRNA from 1 species
UGGGAACGUACCCUUUGCUACGGAAUAGCUCCGGGAAACUGGAAUUAAUACCGUAUGUGCCCUUCGGGGGAAAGAUUUAUCGGCAAAGGAUCGGCCCGCGUUGGAUUAGCUAGUUGGUGGGGUAAAGGCCUACCAAGGCGACGAUCCAUAGCUGGUCUGAGAGGAUGAUCAGCCACAUUGGGACUGAGACACGGCCCAAACUCCUACGGGAGGCAGCAGUGGGGAAUAUUGGACAAUGGGCGCAAGCCUGAUCCAGCCAUGCCGCGUGAGUGAUGAAGGCCCUAGGGUUGUAAAGCUCUUUCACCGGAGAAGAUAAUGACGGUAUCCGGAGAAGAAGCCCCGGCUAACUUCGUGCCAGCAGCCGCGGUAAUACGAAGGGGGCUAGCGUUGUUCGGAAUUACUGGGCGUAAAGCGCACGUAGGCGGGUAUUUAAGUCAGGGGUGAAAUCCCAGAGCUCAACUCUGGAACUGCCUUUGAUACUGGGUACCUAGAGUAUGGAAGAGGUGAGUGGAAUUCCGAGUGUAGAGGUGAAAUUCGUAGAUAUUCGGAGGAACACCAGUGGCGAAGGCGGCUCACUGGUCCAUUACUGACGCUGAGGUGCGAAAGCGUGGGGAGCAAACA